CUCCCAUACCCUUUUUGCAUCUGCAUUCAUGAUUUGCUUCUGUGACCUUUUUUGGUACUGUUCUUGACUGGGUUUUAAAAAGCAAGAUUGUGCUAGCCUAGUAAAAUGAAUUAGGAAGUCAGUUUGUGUAACAUCAAAAUUAUUUUUUCCUUGAACGUUUGAUAGAACUUUUCUGUAAAUCUUCUGAGUAUAGUGUUUAUAAAAGAUUUUUUUUUUUGUCAAAUGAUUCAAUUUCUUUAUGGGUUAAAGGACUACUAUAACUCUUCAUUUUGGGUCAUAGAUUUUCUUUUAACUUCCUGUGAUCUCAACAAUACAUUUAAUUUGAUUUUUAAAAAUAUUUAAUAUUCUUGUUAUGGAAGUAUCAUUUAGAAGUACCGGUAGAAGUAUCAUUUAAUUUAUCAUAUAUCCAUAUCCUCCAUAAUCUGGGAAACAGAAGUCUUCAUUUAACCACCAUCCCUCUCCAAUUUUACUUAACGUCAUUCCAUUAAAACUGCUUUUGUCAAAAUCACCAAUACUCUCUAAUUUUCCAAAUCUAGUAUAAUUUUUCUAAUCACAUGCAAACUCUGAGCAGCAUUUAACUCAACCGACCACACUAUUCUUCUGGAAACACCCUCUUUUUCAGUUUAUAUAACAUAGUACUGAAUCUGGUUUUUCUACCAGCGUGACCAUUCUGUCUCCUUUUCUUCUUCUUGAUUUCCAAGUGUUGUUUACAGGAACUCAGUCUUUUUCUUUUCUAUCUCAGGUGAAUUUAUCAUUUUUCACUAGUGUGAAUAUGUAUACUUAUUACUUCCAAAUUUUUAUCUGAAGUACAGGCUCUCUCUUCCGAACUCCAGACUUGAAGACUUUUUUUUUGUUUUAACAUAUAGUCAUCUCAAAGUUAUCAUCUUCAAAACUGAACUCAACUACACCCAUUCAGGUCUUUCUCGUUGUAAUGAAUGAACCAUCAUUUAUCUGGUUGCUUGAUCCAGAAAGUUGGAAAUCAGCCUUUAUUUUCAUAAUUCUUUUACCUUCCACAAAUUUUUGUUAAUUCUACAUCCCAAAUAUCUUUAUCUCCUGUGCUAACCCUGGUCUGGGUGUUCACCAUUUCUUGCCCGGACUUCUGUAAUAGCCUCACAAGUAACUGGUUUCUUUACUCUCUUACAUUAGAGUGACCAGCGGUUUCUCUACUCUCUCGUAUUAGAGAGUGACCAGUGUUUUCUUUACUAUCUCUUGUGCUAGAAAGGGACCAGUGGCUAGUUCAGACUGAGUGCUCUGGGAAGGUCUCCCUAAGGAGCUGACAUUUAAGCUAAAAUCUGAAUAACAAGGAGGGACUUGCCACCCAAAGAGCAUUCUAGAUGGAGGAAACACCUUCUGUAAAGAUUAUAAGCUAAAAAAUAAAUUUCAAAUGCUUAAGAACCCUGAAGAAGGCCAGUUUGGCAAGGGGUAGAGAUUUGGUUAAAGAGUUUAGCAGGAGCCAGAUUAUACCAGCCUUCGUAAGUAAGAGCAUAAAAUGUAAACUUUAUUCUAAAUGAGUUAAGAGGCCAAUUAAAAGUGAUGCUUUGAAUUUAAGGGGUGAGAGAGAAGAAUUGAAGAUGUGGCAUAUGAGUCUAAAGUUUGGGAAAGAUGUUAAGGCUAGAGCUAAAGAUUUGAGGGUCACCAGCCUACAAAUGGUGUUUAUAACUAUAUGUUACCUAGAGAGAGAAUAUAGAUAAAGAAGAGAAAGGAGCCUACAUUGAGCCUUGGAGUACUCUAAUGUUAGAGGUGCCAGUAGAGAAAAAUGAGGAAUUGUGACCAGUGAGGAAAAGGAAAACCAGAAGUGUAUGAUGUCAUGGAAGCCAAAUGAAAAAAAAGUUUCAGGAAUGAAGAAGUGGUCACUUCUGUUGAAUGACGGACUGGAGAAGAAAUAGAAAUAGAAUCCUUCUAUUAAGGUCAGCCUUGAGUAGUUUCAAGGACAGUCAAAGGUAGUUUUUAAAUACUCUCUAGAAAUUCUUAUGAGAGGUAAACAAGUAUCUUCCACUUUUCCAAAUUUAAUUUGGAAAAUUAAAUUGGCCCAUUCUAUUUUGUAGCAGAAUUUCAGAGUGGUUGAUAACCUUUUGGACAAGAUCAGGUUUUCUUAAAGCUUACAGCUUCACAGUGUCUCUGACUAGACAGACACAAAGAAAUAAAUAUGUUCUCCUAGCAAUCAGCACAUGGAGGAACAAUUAAACUUGUCUUAUUUAGAAGAAUCCUUCUUGUAGUCAUCACUUUUGAACAGACUAUUUGCAGUCAGAGAUUAUUUAAGGUAGUACUUGGCUUUUUGAAUGUGUUUACUAUAGAAGACUUUGAGAAAUGGGCAGCAAAGAGACACUGAAAAUUAUCUUUUAAAUCCAUUUCCUGAGUAUUUGGGUCAAAUGACUUUCUGAUGUGUUGGACAGUAAUUGAUUCCAGGGAAUUGUUUUUACUGUCUGCCUAAUCACUGUCUUAUUGCUUCUGGAAUAUUGACCUCCUAUGUCCAUCUGGCUGACAGGAUCAAGCCCUGAGUCAGCCUGUAAAAACUCUUCUUGAAAUGUUUCAAAUUAAUUGUGGAUUUGCAGUGGUUUCAUUUUCAAAGGUUUAUGUUUAUUGCUAACAUUGUUAUGUGAUAGUUUUGUGAUUAUUAAAUGAGUUUAAGUAGACCUAGAAGUGUGUUAUGCAUGUCUAUGUAUGUGGGUAUAUAUAAAAUUUUUAUUUAUAAUCAGUCUUAGUCUUCAUGGGUUGGAAUUUUAUUCCCAUAUUUUUUGCUUGGAUUGAAAUGGCAUGCUUAUCUAACAUAACUAGAAUUCCCUGGUUAUUCCCUGGUUAUGUAGUUACAGAUACUACAAACUGGUAAACAUACCUAAGAGGUUUGCAGAUUUCUCCAUCUGUAUGGAUUAAUACAUUUUCUGCCCAAAUUUUGAGACAUAACAGAAUGAUUGCCACUACCAUCUCUCCAUUCCCGAAGAUCACAUAUUUUUAGAAGACUAGUCACCUAUUGGUGGUAGUUAAUGUUAUGACUCCAUAAGAAUUAAAAUAAGUGAAAUAUUAAUAGAUUGCUUAGAAAUUAUGUUGUUAUGGUUAGAGAUUAUGCCCUAGAGCCACUGUCAUCCCACGCUAGUCACCAGCAGAUCUCCAUGUGAAGUUCAAGACUGUUGUACAUGUUCUAUUUGUUGUCUCUUUACUCUCCUUCCUUCUACUGCCCACAUCUUCGGAACCCCUUGUCCUGCCUUAUCCCCAGGGUUUAGCACCCACACAAUCCUGAUCUUUCCAUUAGUUCCUCAUCCUCUGGAUUUUUCAUUUGUCCAAGUUUUUCAAUGUUGCAGGGCCCUGUUUUCUUCUAUGAAAUAACAAACUCACCUCUGCUGAAAUGCCACCUCUGCCCAGAGAUCAUAUUUGCACUUUAGUAUACACCAUAUCUUUACUCAAAAAAAGGAUGUAAAUUUAAUGGGAAGACUUGCCUAAGAUUAUAUCAUUAGUUGUGAAGCUAGAACUUAGAGCACUAAUAUUCACAGUCACUUACUUCACUUGUAAAUAGAGCUGGAGUUGCCUUAUUAUAUUGCAAUUUUAUGACUUAAAGCAUUGUAUUUGUCAUGAAAAAACACUUAGUAAAAACAAAUUAAUGGUUAAUAAUAAUAUUGUUCCUAUAGCUGAUUUCCUUCAAAGGUGCUGAGGAAUGGGCUAAAAUAUAUAAUCUCACUUCCCAUUUGUUAAUUCCUUUAUUUAUUUGUUUAUGCUAUGCUUCCUAUAUCUGAAUGGCUCUAUAUAUGUCUCAGUUUAAUCUAGCAAAUGUGGGGACUAGAAUGAUUUGCUUUAUUGAUAUGAUAAUGUAUUAGAAUUACAUUAAAAUAUAGAAACUUUUCUCUGUUUUUAUAAAGGGUAGGAUCGUUAUUGAUUGAGAUUUCCAGCUGAAAAGUUUGCUACUCUUUUUUUUCUUGAAGUAGAAUUUUUUAAAUGAAAUAAUUAAGCUGUCUCACCAGAAUAUUUUAAUUGAAAAAAUUAGCUUUGCAUAGAAUUCAUAGGUCUUAUUAUCAUAUAAUUUUCAUAACAUUGUGAAGAUUUCAGUCUUCUCCAAAAUAAGCAGCAAUAAAUAAUAAUCAUAUAUAUUCCUUGAUACAGCUUGGCCAACUGUAUUUCAACAUACAAAAACACACAAGGCCUACUUUACUUUUUUUUUCUCCCCUUUGAGACAGGUUUCACUCUGUCAUCCUGGCUAGAAUGCAGUGGCACAAUCACGGCUCACUGCAGCCUUGAAUUCCUGGGCUCAAGUGAUUCUUCCACCACAGCCUUCCAAACACUAAGAUUACAGGCAUGAGCCGCUGCAUCCAGCUGUACCCUACUUUCAUGAUAAAGAUAAUAUGGCAUUUAGGGCUUGUCUUGAUUAAAAGCCAAGAAUAUUAUUUGCAUUUCUUUGAAAGAAAAAGCUGAAUUGAGGAUAAAGUAGCGUCAAAAUGACGACCAAAUGGAAAGGAGAUUAUAAUUGCAGAUUUCAGAACACAGUUUAGUAUACUUAUGUAUAUUACUUCUUAAAUAAUGGUUUGAGGAGUGCAGAUUAUUCAUCCAUUUGAUUUGAGAUCUCUCCAUGCUUCAUUUUUUUUCCCUGGACAGUUAGAAUUUUCCCUCAUGGUUCAGACUCUUAAAUAUAUAUGCUCACCCUAAGUUCUUUAAAGUCCCUGAAAAGUUGCCUUCUCUAUUAGUCAUUCAUUCUUUAUUCUCCUUUUUGAUUUUUCUGUCAUCAGUGACACCUGAAUACAUUUUCCAGCCUACACUCAUUGACCAAAAAAGAAAAAACUUGGCAUCAACAUUGUUUUUAGUCAUUUAGACCAUUAUGUCCUUAUGUGGCAACUACUUUAUAAAGUAACAUGAACAUGACUCAACUUUUGGCUCUAAAAUCAGAAGAAAUAAAGAUUUGCAAUAGCAGUAUCUAUUUGUGAGCAAUAACAUUUUUAUAAAUUGAUCCAUUUCCAGACACUAUUUUUAAAGUUGGUUUAAGUGAUAGGCAUUUUUUAAGUGUUGUACCUAGCAAACUAUGAAAAGUCUCUUAUUAAUCAUUUGUAUUUCAACUUAUUUCUGAACUUAAAUCUUAUUAUAUAUAAUACUUUGCAUCCUAAUGCUAAAUCUCAACAUAAAGUAGUAGGAGCAGAGUUUCUACUCAGAAUCAGUUUUACAUGAAAUGAAAACAACCUUGAAUAAUUAAAGCAAUUUUUAAAAAGAAAAGUUAGAUGUCUAUACUCCCUGUUUUAAGACUUACUGUAUAAAAUUACAGUAAUCAAGACUAUAUAUUACUAUAGGGAUAGACAUAUGAGGGAACUUUUAAAAGUUCAUGGAAAUUGAAUUAAAAGAUAAAAAAUAUAAACCUUAUCUCUCAAUGGAAGCUCCAUCAAGGUCUAGACACUUUUGUAAGCAAUGAUACCAGCCAUUUAGUUCAACCCUAAAACACUGAGGGUCCUAGGAAUUUAACUAUGUUAAUGAAGUCUUUUUUACAUUAUUAACUGAAGACGAAUGGGUGCCUUUUAAGAUUUUUUAUGAUUAGGAAACAAAAAGAAGUCAGAAGGAGCCAAAUCAGGGCAGUAAUGUGGAUGCCUAAUGAUUUCCCAUCAAAACUCUCACAAAAUUGCCCAUGUUUGAUGAGAGGAAUGAGCAGGAGCAUGGUCAUAGUGGGGAAGGACUCUCUGGUGAAGCUUUCCCAGACAUUUUCCUGCUAAAGCUUUGGCCAAUUUUCUUAAAGUAUUCUCAAUAAGUAUUGUUCUUUGGCCCUCCAGAAAGCUAACAAGAAAAUGCCUUGAGCAUCCCAAAAACGUGUUGCCAUGACCUUUGCUCUUCACCAGUCUGCUUUUGAUUAGACUGGACCACUUCCUCCUGGUUGCCAUUGCUUUGAUUGUGCUUUGUCUUCAGCAUCAUACUGGCAAAGCCAUGUUUCACCUCUGUUACAAUUCUUUGAAGAAUUUCAUCUCACCUGUUAGUAAUUUUCAUUGAAAUCUCUGCUCUUGUCUGCAGCUCAUCUGGGCACAACAUUUUUGGCACCCAUCAAUUGGAAAGUUUGCUUAACUUUAAUUUUUCAGUCAGAAUUACAUAAGCUAAACCAAUUGAAUUGUGGUUUAGGCUGUGGUGUUGGCUAUUUGUGUUGUUAAUUAUCAGUCCUCUUCAAUUAGGGCACAAUUAAGAUGAAUUUUUUCCUUGCGAAUUUAUGUGCCUGGUCUGCUGCUGCAGGCUUCACCUUCAAUAUCAUCUCAUCCCUUCUUAAAACGAUUUGUAAGCUGCUGAUUUCUUUGGGGCAUUGUCCACAUAAACUUAUCAUAAGGCAUCAAUGAUUUCACCAUUCUUUCACCCAAGCUUCAUUAUAAAUUUAAUGUUUGUUCUUGCUUCAAUCUUUGCAGAAUUCAUAUUCUGAUAAGGAUUCUUUUCAAACUGAUGUCUUACCCUUCUUAGUCCCUCAAACUAGAUCCUGUUCAGACAUGUUAUGACGAGUUAAUUCAAGUUUAUUUUGGUGCAGACAAAAUUGAAAUCCAUACCGUUUUUCUAUAAUGUACAUUUUCCAUGAACUUUUUAAGACCCCUUAUAUAGAACAAUGGAGCAGGGUAGAGAGACCUUGCUCAACCCUCAUGUAUAUGAUCAAUUAAUUUUCAACAAAACUACCAAGGCAAUUCAAUUGGGAAAGGAAAGUCUUUCAACAAAUGCGACUGAAAAAACUGGAUAUUCUUACUGAGGAAAAGAAACAUUGACCCUUACCUCACAUCAUACAUAAGAAUUAGCUUUAGUUUCACAGCAGAAAAAUGCGGGACCCAUAAGAAUUAGCUUGAAAUGUAUUAUAAACCUAAUUAUAAAAGCUAAAACUAUAGAACUUCUAGAAGAAAAUUUUUGCAGCCUUGAGUAUGCAAAGAUUUUUUGGAUAAGACACAAAAAGCACAAACCAUUUUUUAAAAUGAUAGAUUAUACUUCCUUAAACUUAAAAAGUUUUAUUCUUUGAAAGAUACCAUUAAGAAACAAAAAGGCAAGUCAUAGAAUGGAAGCAAAUAUUAGCAAUAUGUAUUAACAAAGGACUUCAAUUCCGUAUAUAUAAAGAACUCAUAACUCAAUAAGACAAACAACCAAUUAAACAAUGAAGAAAAGAUUUCAACAGAUCAUUCAGAAAAGAAAGGAUGGCCAAUAAUCUUAUGAAGAAAAUGCUGAAUAUCAUUAGUCAUCAGAGAAAUGCAAAUUAAAACAGCAGUGAAAUACAUUACACCAAUUAGAAUGGCUGUGAGUUAAAAAUCUGAUAACGCCAACUGUUGAUGAAGAUGUAGAGCACCAGUACUCUUCUACACUGCUGUUGGGAACAUAAAAUGGUAUAACCACUUUGGAAAUCAGUUUGGCAGUGUCUUACAAAGUUAAACAUAUGUCUACCAUACAACCCAACUAUUUCAGUACUAGGGCAGUAUUUACUAUCCAAGAGAAAUAAAAACAUGUUCACACAAAGAGUUGUACAUGAAUGUUAUAGCAACCUUAUUCUCAAAAGCCAGAACCUGGAAACAACCCAAAUGUUCAUCUGCAGGUGAAUAGAUUUUAAAAAUUGCAGAUAUUCAUAUAAUAGAAUUCUACUAGCAUUACCACAGAUGUACCCAACAACAUGGAUUUAUCUCAGAAACGUUAUGCUGAGUGAAAGACAUCAGAUAUAAAAGAGUAUGCAAUUUAUAUGGAAGUCUAGAAAAUGCAGACUAAUCUAAAGUGGCAGGAAGCAGAUCUGUGGUUGUCUGGGGGUCAGGGUAGAGAUAGAAAUUGACUACAGAGAGACACAAGAAAAUUCUUGGUAACAAUGGACAUGUUCUAUAUAUUGAUUGUUGUAGUGGUAACACAGAAUUAACAUGUACCAAAACUCACCAAAUUGUAUGCUUUGAUAGGCACAGUUAUAGAUAAAUUAUACUUCAGUAAAGCUAAUAUUGUAAGUGCAAUUUGAAGUAUUUGGUGGUUUCUUUAAACCUUAUGAUUUUAUAUGAUGCACUUCAUUAUUGAUAUAGCAAAAUACUCUGCUUUUAGAAAAGAGAAAUUAACAUCAUCUCACAUCUUCUACCAUCCUCCCUACCCCACCUCUGUUUAAAGGAUCAAAGUUGUACAUAAAAUUGAUAAAAUAAGCACGUAAAAUCAUAACUAUUAAUCAUGUAAGGUUAUCAAAGAUUGAAAGGCUACAGAGCAGCCUAGUGCAAUGGGAAGCGUAGAGGAUGUUUGAAGUACUAAGACUUGGUUUCAUAUCCAAAAUCUAGCUCUAAUAGUAUAUCUUAAACUUAGAAAUGAGUAUAUUACGUAUUACCAAAAAUUAGGAUCAAGUGAAACAUGCUAAGGCACUUGCAAACACAACAAAUCCCUGUUCCUACCCACUGUAUAGUCAGAUCUUAACUGCUUGCAGAUAAAAGUUCUAAAUAAGAAUUAGUUUGAUUUGCCAAUGAACUCUGAGAGAGCAACUGGAAAUCUCAACCAGAAAUCUCCAACACCUAGCCUAGCACCUGGCAUAAAUACAUGUUAACUAAAUUAAUUUCCUAUUUCUGAACCCCAGUGUUUUUAUUGGCUCUGUUCAGAGAAAUUAAGGCACAUGGGGCCAUAGACUAUUUUCUCUAAGCUUAUGAGCCGAAACAUAAUAUGCUUACAAGAAGAGACAUUAGAACUCAUAACUUUAUACUGACUAAUGUUCAAAUACAAUUAUGUUAGGUAUCCAUUUGCUUCUGACAUCACAAAAGAACAGAUCACAAAAGACUUGGACUUAAGCUGUCUGCUUUUCCUUGCAUAAUAAGUCCCCUGGUUCAGGGAAUCCAGUCAUUAUAGAAUUUAGCCUAACUGCUUCUAAUCCAUGUAGGACUUUUUAUUAAAGAUGAAAACUAGUAAAGAAUUAACCAUGAGAGGAAAUAAAAGAUUAAUUCAAGUCAGUCAUCACCGUAUCUAUAUCUUAAGAAGUUAAUAGUUCAAAAUCUUUUUUUUUUUUUUUUUUUUUUUACUGGUAGAAGACUUCUGAAUAUACUCGCCGCUUCUGAAUAUACUCCCAGCCCCAUGGUGUUAGGGGUAGGUUGCAACUAUGUAACUCCAAGCUGACUGGGCUGGCACCAACAUCAUCAGCACUGCUAACAUCUUCCAGCAAGUUUUAGUUCAUUAAUCUUAAUGCCAUACAUGUACCCUUUCUCUAGCUAGUGGGUGGCCAGACAUAAAAACUUGCAAACAGAGGCAAAGACAUUAAUGGGAUGAUGCAAGAAGAGAGUUGGAGAUUUUUUUUUAAAUCUCCUUUGCACAUAGGAGUGACCCUAAUCAAUGCUUUUUGGUGAAUAUAAGCAGAAUACAUCUUGUUGCCUUCUCUAGAAUAGAGAACUAAGUAGAUAUGUUGCCUCUGGGUUCAAUAUUUAUUUCUGGAAACUCUUUUCAUUUUACUACCAUCCUCUAAUAAACCAAUACAUCCACUUUGUAAAAUAUAAGACUCUGGAGUUAUUAUAUGUGCUUAUAAAAACACACCUUUAGAUAAGUGGUUUUUCCAAUCUUCUGAUACUCCUCAUUUCCUUCUCAUUGAUUUUCAAGUUUCAACACAAUUUUUUAAAAAUAAGGAUUUAAACAUGAGACAGUAAACCUGGGUAAAGAACUAAGGGGUUUUGAAAUUCAAAGUUAUUAUUUCUGUUUUUAGUAGCUGUUCCACCCUUGCAAAUAUGUAUAAUAAUUAGCCACAAUUAAUAUUCCUCUUUUCCCUAAUUCAUUAUAAAAAGUAUAACUUCUAUACAAUAAUGCAUUACAUUUUUAUCAUGAGAAAUCAUAACAAUAUCUUUAUAUUUGAACCUGAACUUCAAUAUGAAUUUGUGAGAUUUUUUAUAUUAAUGUGUGUAUUUUGUAAUGUAUGUGGUAUGUGUAUAUAUAUGUUUAUUUUAGACACAUUUGACUACAUUUAUAUAUUCAUAGAGAUUUACAUAGAGGCAUUAAAAAAACAGGCAUAGUCAGUCAUGGAUGUUCAUUAUAUAUAAAGGUUAUUGGGGAUGCAAAGAUAUAAAAGAUAGAAGAACCUAGUAAUUGCCUUUAAGAUCAGAGCACAAAGCAUUAGUUUGGAUUUUACAAGGCCAGCCAGCAACAAAAGAGCAGUAAUUUAUGAGCUCAGCGUAAAAGAAUAGCAUAAUUGCAUUAAAAAUUAAUGCUAAUGAACACUAAAAUGGGGAAGGUGGUUAUGAUGAAAGUUUGUAUUCAUCUUUCCUGGUUUGAAUGAUGGCUAGUGGCUUGAUUAAUGGCUUAAUUUCUAUCAAUUAGCGGGGAAAAAUCUCCUGCGAGACAAGGGUAAAUUGAGCAUUGAAUUACAUAUCUUGCUUUUGUGUGCUAAGAAAAAAGAGCUGCGUAUCUCUGAUAUUAGCCACAGUGACAAAUGUGGUGUGCCCUGCGAUGUCUGCAUUAGCUCUCCUGACAGGCGAGUUGUGUGUGGUUAUGGGGUGUUUAGAGAUGGCUGGCAGACAGCAUUCACUGCAAGUUCCUUAGAAACAUACAACUCUUCCAUCUACAGAAUUUUAAUUAGAGUCGAUAAGGAUUCUAGAAUUAAAAUGGACAGCAAACAGCAACUGCAGAAUCUGUAUUCUGACCUAUUAAUCUGGUAUACAUCAAAUUAUAUUCCUUUUUCCUACCCUAUUAAAAUAAGAAAACUUCCAGUAGCUUUAGUUUUGUUGGGAUUAUGAAUUCUUACCACUCUAUUAAAGUGGAUUUGACUAUCAAUGUUGAUUACAUUUGCAAUAAGCAUAAGGCAGUAGUCUAUAUUUUGGGACUAUGUAGUGGUUGUUGGUUUAACCAAAUUCAUGGAAACCAUUCUUGUUUUUUGUAACAAUUGCUGAACAGUAAAUAAAGAGCAGCUUAAAGUGACAAUUUCCUACUUAGGUUGUUUGCAGGCUUAAGGGAAAAAAAUGCUAGGUUUUUAGAAACUUUUUAAAUUCAUUUACAAAGGUUUUCUAGAUGUGAUAUAUAUAUAUAUCCCUUUAAAAAUUUCAAAUGUGAAAGAUUCUGAAAAUGCACAUCUGUAAUCUAGUUCAAGAUAAUGCCAGAAGAGUAAGAUAUUAUAUAAAAUAUAUAUAUUUUAUGUAUAUAUGUAUGUGUGUGUGUAUAUAUAUAUAUAUAUAUAUCCUACAAAUAAAGCUACACUGUAUUUUACUGAAUGAGUAAGCAUUAAAAUGCAGAAUAAGGACAAUAUCAAGAAUAUUUAUUACUUAUUAUAAAUGGAUGGAGUGGGGAAAAAAUAAAUUGUUGCUUGGCAGGAGUGGGUAAAGAAUUCAUUUGACUGGAAGAUGACUAGUCACAAUUCAGGGGUUGAAUCCCAGUUGUACCACCAACUAGCCAUGUGGCUGUCACCAAGUUAUUUAUUAGCCUCAGUUUCUCAUCUUUACAAUGAGGGUAACAGUAUUAUUCCUCAUGGUCAUGAUAUUUAAAUGAGGUAAUCCAUGUGAAGUGCUCAGCGCAGAGUGCCUUAAAUUUCUAUUGCUGUUACUAUUACUUACUUCUGCUACCAGAACAGCUCAUCUGGCCUUCUAAACAAUGACUUAAAUGAAAAAUUCAUUUCUAUGACUUUCCCCACUGGAAAGGUAUUACAUAUAUCGAUGAUGAAAACAAAAAUUUCCGUGGACAUAUAUACACCAGAACAAAAUAUGUUUGCUUUAAAACAUGGUUUCUACCGCCUAACUGUCAUUUUGGGUAGUUUGUGUUAUAAGACAUCCAUUAGGAAGUGACAAGAUCUCCCAUCUCUUUAGUCACUGAAGCCUGGGUAACCAUAUGUCAGCAAAAUACCACUUUCCUAUUCAACCCAGAGCAUUCAGUGAAUCAUGGUAGACUCCAGUGCCUUGGUGGGUGGUAAAAUUCAGCUGGGCCUUUUGUGCCUUCUCAUAGAUGUGCACAGGCCUGUCCUCCACUGCUUCCACUCCUUCUCUCCUCCUCCUAUCAUUUCCACAUCCUGGCACACCACAGGUUUACCAGAAGAUGUAUGAGCUAAAGCCAUUUUCUACUUGCCUGAACUCAAGAAUAUUGCCAGCUUAUUAUAAACCAUACUGUCAGAAAUAUACAGAUUUAUAUAAGAAUUGUUUAGCCAACUUCCGUGUCUUUAGUACUGUUACUAAAUUAGCACUUUUGUUUAUGCUGUGCUUCCUGUAUCUGCUACCAUUUCUUAAGUGCUUUUAAUGCUUCCCUAUCGCUGUGUGGAGCACAGGUUAUCAUCUCCCAGAUUUUUGUGGCUUGCUUUUUCACAUCAUUUUUGCCUUCUGAAAUACCACCAUGUCAGAGAGUUCUUCUCUGGUUACCCCAUCUGAAAUAGUUUCCUUUCCUCCUUUCUAGCCCUCUAGCCUGCUCUAUUUUCCUUGAUAUUAUAUUAUUUACUUGUUUAUUAUUUGUCUCCCUCAUUAAAACAUAAGCUCAUGAAGGAAGAAACUCUCAUUCAUUUCCAAGUCCUACUAUGUGGAACAAUGCCUGGUACAUUGAAUGUGCUCACUUAUUUGAAAAGAGAGGGAUGGAGGGAGGGAGGGAAGAUGUGGGGGGGAAAUCUCUCAACCACCCUAUGAUGUUUAGGCUAUUACUAUCUCCAUGCCAUAGAUGAGAAAAUGGAGACCAACACUCUUGAACCACUUGCCCAAAGCCACACAGCUGGUACAUAGCAGAGACAGGGUUUAACCCAGAUAGCCCAAACCCAGAGCCCUUAAAACUCACCACUGAGGGUGCAGCGCACCAGCAUGGCACGUGUAUACAUAUGUAACUAACCUGCACAAUGUGCACAUG
rnacentral:lncRNA from 1 species